GUGCUCUUUUAAUGCAGUGCUUUAAGAGGCUAACACAGAAGGAUAAAGUAAAUCUUUAUAAAAUCAGGGAAGAGAUUGUGAAACUCUUCUUUAGAUCUUGUCUGGAGUCACAGUU
ensembl:snoRNA